UACGAAGGGGGCUAGCGUUGUUCGGAAUUACUGGGCGUAAAGCGUGCGCAGGCGGCUGCUCAAGUCAGGGGUGAAAGCCCAGAGCUCAACUCUGGAAUUGCCUUUGAGACUGAGUGGCUUGAGUACGGGAGAGGUGAGUGGAAUUCCCAGUGUAGAGGUGAAAUUCGUAGAUAUUGGGAAGAACACCGGUGGCGAAGGCAGCCCCCUGGGCUAACACUGACGCUCAUGCACGAAAGCGUGGGGAGCAAACAGG
rnacentral:rRNA from 1 species